rnacentral:rRNA from 1 species
UUGCCGGUGUAAAGACGCCAAUAGGUGGAUUGCUAGGCUUGAGGAGAGAAGAAGGACGUGGCAAGCUGCGAUAAGCUCGGGGUAGGCGCACGCAUCCUAUGAUCCCGAGAUGUCCGAAUGAGAAUCUUACACAUAGUGUAUUCCGUUACAAUGGUGAUGGAAGUCGAACCGUGGGAAUUGAAGCAUCUUAGUACCACGAGGAAAAGAAAUCAAUUGAGAUUUCCCAAGUAGAGGCGAUCGAAAAGGAAAGAGCCCAAACUGAAUCCUUCGGGAGAUGUGGUGUUUUGGUAUGAUAAUAUGGAAUCCUGGAACACAGCUGAAAUGAUCUGAAAAGUUCUGGCACAGAGGGUGAUACCCCCUUAAGCGAAGUGGAAAAGGUCCUAUUCAUACCCGAGUAAUUGUCCUUGGUAGUGGGCAAUGAAUAUGGGUGAAAGUAGCAUCCGAGGCUAAAUAUCUCUCAAGACCGAUAGUGUACUAGUACCGUGAGGGAAAGCUGAAAAGUACCCCGGAAGGGGGAUGAAAAGUGCAUGAAACCUAUUGGUUACAGACGUGCGUGGCAUGAAAGGUGAUUUUUUCAGACUGGAGGUUCUAGCAAUAGA